rnacentral:tRNA from 1 species
GAGGGUAUAGCUCAGUGGUAGAGCACAUGCUUAGCAUGCACGAGAUCCUGGGUUCAAUUCCCAGUACCUCUG